CAUCUUUUAGCCAAGAACACCAUCAAAAACUUUCACAUUUCAAGCCUUUCUUUGAUGAUCAAGAUGGAGUUUGAAGGAACUUAGGAGGAUCUAAAGACACUACAAGUUGAAGCAAGCUCUUCCUUCCAUUCCGUAGCUUCCAAACAUCAAGAUCAACAUUUUUUCGUUUCUUUGAUCAACAUCUAGAUCAUCCCUAGCCACAAGUGCUAGAAGUCAUCAUACAAUUCAAGAAAACAGCCAGUGAGGUUACAGUUAUAUACAGUUUACGGAACGCAAUUCUGGAAUUAGUGGACCAUGCAGAUAUUUCAGUUCAAGAAAGCAAGUAUAAAGACUCCAUGCCAACUUUUGAAGGGUUUGCCCAUUUUAUACCGCCUCUUUGCGGUGAUAUAGUGGUCAAAGCCUUGACAUUUUAAGACUUACAUUUUGAUGUAUGAAACAA